GGGGCUAUAGCUCAGCUGGGAGAGCGCUUGCAUGGCAUGCAAGAGGUCACGGUUCGAUCCCGCUUAGCUCCACCA
rnacentral:tRNA from 1 species